UCUUGACAUGUAGUAUUCUAGUUGAACUAGGGGGCUUGCUGAAUUGUAAGCCAUAUUGAACUUGAGUAAAAAUCUAUUCUUUGGUGACAUUCCACCAUUUCUAGGAAAUCUCGUGAACCAAGAAAUCUCCUUCCUGAACAUGUUGCAGUUUAAAUUGACGUUGAUAGAAAAAGAUCAAACAAAAGAUCACAGUAGUAACUUUUGUGACUCACUUAGACACUCAUGAGAUCAUUUUAUAGUCGAU
rnacentral:lncRNA from 1 species